rnacentral:sRNA from 1 species
GCUGAGGGUGGUGAGGACAGGCCUAGUGUGAGCUGGACUGGGGCACCUGGUGCUGAGGGUGAUGAGGACAGGCCUGGUGUGAGCCGGACUGGGGCACCUGGUGCCACCCACAGCCAGCCUUUGACCUUCAGGGACGGGUUGGGGCUCUGGUUGCCUGGGGAGGGGUCUCCAGGGCUUCCUGCCCUUUGAGCUUGGGCCAGCAUCCCAGCACUUGGCAGGCAGGAGGGGGUUCUUGGGGCUUGGGCCAGCCUGUCCCUUCCUGCCUCCUGUGUUCCUCUGUCCUUGCUCAUCACUUCUGUGCUGGGGACCCUUCUUUCUUCUCUGCUGUCCCUCAAGGCUGUGUCUGGAAGUCUCGGAGAGCCCAGUUGGUGGGCCAGUGAUCUUUGUGCUUGCUGAGCUGGAGGACAGGCGCAGGCAUGCUGUCUGCCCACCCCACACUCUGAUGGGCCUGUUGGCCAUGCCUCCCUGCUCACACAGCUGCGUUCUCUCUGCAAAAAGCUUAGAGAUGGAUUUUGACAGAAGGGACGUAAACAUAAUCCUGGUUGGCAUCAGUUUGGGUCUGCAGUGGCUGUGACUGCCCAAGGGCCUCUUGGUCCCCAGGCCCACCUGGCUACGGUGCCAGUGGGUCUGCUCCUGGCUUCUCCCAGUGGGCCAGGCACAGCCCAUGCAAGAGUGUGUGGAAGCGAGCUGGAGCCCUCUGCAGGGCUCGUGUGGCCCGAGAGAGGCCUGUGUUCUCUGGGAGGGCACAGACUCCAUCAAGAUGGAGAACGGGCAGAGCACAGCCGCCAAGCUGGGGCUGCCGCCCCUGACGCCCGAGCAGCAGGAGGCCCUUCAGAAGGCCAAGAAGUACGCCAUGGAGCAGAGCAUCAAGAGCGUGCUGGUGAAGCAGACCAUCGCGCACCAGCAGCAGCAGCUCACCAAUCUGCAGAUGGCAGCAGUGACAAUGGGCUUUGGAGAUCCUCUCUCACCUUUGCAAUCGAUGGCGGCUCAGCGGCAGCGGGCGCUGGCCAUCAUGUGCCGUGUCUACGUGGGCUCUAUCUACUACGAGCUGGGGGAGGACACCAUCCGCCAGGCCUUUGCACCCUUUGGCCCCAUCAAGAGCAUCGACAUGUCCUGGGAUUCCGUCACCAUGAAGCACAAGGGCUUUGCCUUCGUGGAGUAUGAGGUCCCCGAAGCUGCACAGCUGGCCUUGGAGCAGAUGAACUCGGUGAUGCUGGGGGGCAGGAACAUCAAGGUGGGCAGACCCAGCAACAUAGGGCAGGCCCAGCCCAUCAUAGACCAGCUGGCUGAGGAGGCACGGGCCUUCAACCGCAUCUACGUGGCCUCUGUGCACCAGGACCUCUCAGACGAUGACAUCAAGAGUGUGUUUGAGGCCUUUGGCAAGAUCAAGUCCUGCACACUGGCCCGGGACCCCACAACGGGCAAGCACAAGGGCUACGGCUUCAUUGGUGAGCUGGGGCGGCUGAGGCGGGAUGGGGGCCACCUGAGGCUGGGGCUGGCCCUGCUCACUGCUGCUCCUGCCCACAGAGUAUGAGAAGGCCCAGUCGUCCCAAGAUGCUGUGUCCUCCAUGAACCUCUUUGACCUGGGUGGCCAGUACUUGCGGGUGGGCAAGGCCGUCACACCGCCCAUGCCCCUACUCACACCCGCCACACCUGGAGGCCUCCCACCUGCCGCUGCUGUGGCAGCUGCUGCAGCCACUGCCAAGAUCACAGCUCAGGAAGCAGUGGCCGGAGCAGCGGUGCUGGGUACCCUGGGUACACCUGGACUAGUGUCCCCAGCAUUGACCCUGGCCCAGCCCCUGGGCACUUUGCCCCAGGCCGUCAUGGCUGCCCAGGCACCUGGAGUCAUCACAGGUGUGACCCCAGCCCGUCCUCCUAUCCCGGUCACCAUCCCCUCGGUGGGAGUGGUGAACCCCAUCCUGGCCAGCCCUCCGACGCUGGGUCUCCUGGAGCCCAAG